rnacentral:rRNA from 1 species
AUGAACGCUGGCGGCGUGCCUAAUACAUGCAAGUCGAGCGAACAGACGAGGAGCUUGCUCCUCUGAUGUUAGCGGCGGACGGGUGAGUAACACGUGGAUAACCUACCUAUAAGACUGGGAUAACUUCGGGAAACCGGAGCUAAUACCGGAUAACAUGUUGAACCGCAUGGUUCAACAGUGAAAGACGGUCUUGCUGUCACUUAUAGAUGGAUCCGCGCCGCAUUAGCUAGUUGGUAAGGUAACGGCUUACCAAGGCAACGAUGCGUAGCCGACCUGAGAGGGUGAUCGGCCACACUGGAACUGAGACACGGUCCAGACUCCUACGGGAGGCAGCAGUAGGGGAUCUUCCGCAAUGGGCGAAAGCCUGACGGAGCAACGCCGCGUGAGUGAAGAAGGUCUUCGGAUCGUAAAACUCUGUUAUUAGGGAAGAACAAAUGUGUAAGUAACUAUGCACGUCUUGACGGUACCUAAUCAGAAAGCCACGGCUAACUACGUG